AGGUUGGAUCACAGGAAAGCCUCUGCCAUGGGCAUGUGCUGGCCGAGACAGAUGGGGUUGAACCAGCCCUGUCACUUUGGCCUUGGGCAAGUCACCCGUGCCUUGCUUCCCUUUCCCCAGCAGCCAGAUGGGGAUAAUAGCACCUAUUUCACCUGUACUAAAGUGGUCACUUGUUAGCAGGAACUGAGUGCUGGAGGAGGUGCAGACAGAGCCAUCGAGGCAGCACUGCAGCUGGACCUGGGUGUGAGUCCCUGCUCCUGGCUGUGAGAUGUGUGUCUCCCUCUGUUUAUUCAUCUGAAGGAUAGGGCUGUGCUGUUCUGGGGUCACUGUGACAAUUCAACUGGCCUGUGUGAGUUGGUGGUGGCCUCCUGAGAUGGUUUGAGGCCUCAUAAAAGCCUGAAACAGCCUGGCUUGUAGUGGGCCAGGAGACCAAAACUUGAAGGCAGAGUGACAGAGUGAAGACAGAGAGACCACCUAGUCAGCCUCAGCCCCAGGACUGUGUCCAUGCUGGUCCUGGCUCCAGUGACCCAGUUGUCUCCUGAGACGCCUAAGUACAGAGGAACCUGAUGCCAGCCGCAGUCAACCCUGAUGUGAUGAUCUGUCCACCAACCCUCUUUGAUGUCUUGGUGCUGGCUGCUGUCUUUGGCCAGGUCAUGGGUUCAAAGACCAUUCCUGGAUUCCACCACUGCCAAGCGUCAAUGGUCACAGGAGCUGCUUGGGCUUUCUGGGUUAAGACCCUUGCCUAUCCCUGUGUCCCCCCCUGCAGUAGGGGGGCUGCAGGGGUCAGCCUCAGUCUCUGCCCUGGGAGCCUGCCUUACCUUGCCCUGGCAGCCCCACACCUGCCCUGGAAGACCCCCCACACCCACUGGCUCUGA
rnacentral:lncRNA from 1 species